rnacentral:tRNA from 1 species
AAGGAUUUAAGUUAAAAUAAACUGUCAACCUUCAAAGUUGACUAUAGAAAUUACUUCUAAGCCUUA